rnacentral:rRNA from 1 species
UACGUAGGGGGCUAGCGUUGUCCGGAAUCAUUGGGCGUAAAGCGCGCGUAGGCGGCCCAGUAAGUCCGUUGUAAAAGUCAAAGGCUCAACCUUUGAAAGCCGAUGGAUACUGCUGGGCUAGAGUCCGGAAGAGGCGAGUGGAAUUCCUGGUGUAGCGGUGGAAUGCGCAGAUAUCAGGAGGAACACCGAUAGCGAAGGCAGCUCGCUGGGACGGUACUGACGCUGAGGCGCGAAGCGUGGGGAGCAAACAGGG